UACGAAGGGGACUAGCGUUGUUCGGAAUUACUGGGCGUAAAGCGCACGUAGGCGGCUUUGUAAGUUAGAGGUGAAAAGCCCAGGGCUCAACCCUGGAAUUGCCUUUAAGACUGCAUCGCUUGAACAUCGGAGAGGUAAGUGGAAUUCCGAGUGUAGAGGUGAAAUUCGUAGAUAUUCGGAAGAACACCAGUGGCGAAGGCGACUUACUGGACGAUUGUUGACG
rnacentral:rRNA from 1 species